rnacentral:rRNA from 1 species
AGAGUUUGAUCAUGGCUCAGAAUGAACGUUGGCGGCGUGGAUUAGGCAUGCGAGUCGUGCGAGAACCGUAGCAAUACGGGGACAGCGGCGAAAGGGAGAGGAACACGUGGAUACUACCCUCAGGUUCAGGAUAGCUAUGGGAAACUAUAGGUAAUACUGAAUAAUAUCUCCGGAUCAAAGGUGUGAUUCCGCCGGAGGAGGGGUCCGCGUCCUAUUAGCUAGUUGGUGAGGUAAUGGCUCACCAAGGCGAAGAUGGGUACGGGAUGUGAGAGCAUGAUCCCGCUCAUUGGGACUGAGACACUGCCCAGACACCUACGGGUGGCUGCAGUCGAGAAUCUUCGGCAAUGGGGGAAACCCUGACCGAGCGACGCCGCGUGUGAGAUGAAGGCCUUCGGGUUGUAAAUCACUGUCGUAGAGGAGGAAGUGUAGGUGGGUUCUCCCACUUAUUUGACCUAUUCUAGGAGGAAGGACGGGCUAAGUUCGUG